UAAUACGUAGGGGGCAAGCGUUGUCCGGAUUUAUUGGGCGUAAAGAGCGUGUAGGCGGCUUGGUAGGUCUGCUGUGAAAACUCGAGGCUCAACCUCGAGCUGUCGGCGGAAACCACCUGGCUAGAGUCCGGAAGAGGAGAGUGGAAUUCCUGGUGUAGCGGUGAAAUGCGCAGAUAUCAGGAAGAACACCUAUGGCGAAGGCAGCUCUCUGGGACGGUACUGACGCUG
rnacentral:rRNA from 1 species